rnacentral:rRNA from 1 species
GCAGGCUGCAACUCGCCUGCAUGAAGCUGGAAUUGCUAGUAAUCGCGGAUCAGCAUGCCGCGGUGAAUACGUUCCCGGGCCUUGUACACACCGCCCGUCACACCAUGAGAGUCGGGAACACCCGAAGUCCGUAGUCUAACCGCAAGGAGGGCGCGGCCGAAGGUGGGUCCGGUAAUUGGGGUGAAGUCGUAACAAGGUAAC